CCCUUAGAUGUUCUGGGCUGCACGCGCGCUACACUGAUGCACCCAACGAGUUUACGACCUUGCCCGAUAGGGUUGGGUAAUCUUUUUAAAAUGCAUCGUGAUGGGGAUAGAUUAUUGCAAUUAUUAAUCUUCAACGAGGAAUUCCUAGUAAGCGCGAGUCAUCAGCUCGUGCUGAUUACGUCCCUGCCCUUUGUACACACCGCCCGUCGCUCCUACCGAUUGAGUGCUCAGGUGAAUAAUUCGGACUGCAGCAAUGUUUGGAUCCCGAACGUUGCAGCGGAAAGUUUAGUGAACCUUAUCACUUAGAGGAAGGAGAAGUCGUAACA
rnacentral:rRNA from 1 species